rnacentral:rRNA from 1 species
UGGGGAAUAUUGCACAAUGGGCGCAAGCCUGAUGCAGCAACGCCGCGUGAGGGAUGACGGCCUUCGGGUUGUAAACCUCUUUUAGCAGGGAAGAAGCGAAAGUGACGGUACCUGCAGAAAAAGCGCCGGCUAACUACGUGCCAGCAGCCGCGGUAAUACGUAGGGCGCAAGCGUUAUCCGGAAUUAUUGGGCGUAAAGAGCUCGUAGGCGGUUUGUCGCGUCUGCUGUGAAAUCCCGAGGCUCAACCUCGGGUCUGCAGUGGGUACGGGCAGACUAGAGUGCGGUAGGGGAGAUUGGAAUUCCUGGUGUAGCGGUGGAAUGCGCAGAUAUCAGGAGGAACACCGAUGGCGAAGGCAGAUCUCUGGGCCGUAACUGACGCUGAGGAGCGAAAAGGGUGGGGAGCAAACAGGCUUAGAUACCCUGGUAGUCCACCCCGUAAACGUUGGGAACUAGUUGUGGGGUCCACUCCACGGAUUCCGUGACGCAGCUAACGCAUUAAGUUCCCCGCCUGGGGAGUACGGCCGCAAGGCU